rnacentral:rRNA from 1 species
AUUGAACGCUGGCGGCAUGCCUUACACAUGCAAGUCGAACGGCAGCACGGGUGCUUGCACCUGGUGGCGAGUGGCGAACGGGUGAGUAAUACAUCGGAACAUGUCAUGUAGUGGGGGAUAGCCCGGCGAAAGCCGGAUUAAUACCGCAUACGAUCUACGGAUGAAAGCGGGGGACCUUCGGGCCUCGCGCUAUAGGGUUGGCCGAUGGCUGAUUAGCUAGUUGGUGGGGUAAAGGCCUACCAAGGCGACGAUCAGUAGCUGGUCUGAGAGGACGACCAGCCACACGGGAACGGAAACACGGCCCAGACUCCUACGGGAGGCAGCAGUGGGGAAUUUUGGACAAUGGGGGAAAGCCUGACCCAGCAAUCCCGCGUGUUGAAAAAAGGCCUUGGGGUUGUAAAGCCCUUUUGCCGGGAAAAAACUCCUUGCCCCUAAUACGGUGGGGGGAUGACGGUACCGGAAAAAUAAGCCCCGGCUAACUACGUG